rnacentral:lncRNA from 1 species
AGAUUUAAUUUUUUGAAUGACACUCUCACAAACUCAUCUACUAUUCACCAAAAAAAAAGAUCUAAGACUUGCUACUCUAAACAUAGAAGUUCAAAUACAUCUAUAGAAAUAUUACCCUAGAAAAAGUUUUAAUUUGAAAAAACAUUCGAUUUUGAAAAGAUAUUAUACAUACAAUGUACACUACACAGAAACCUCAAAUAGAAAUAUUAUCUCUUGAGUUCGAAUUUCGAAAGUCAAACAUGAAAGUCAUACAAGUUGCUCCUAUGGGCUGGUUGGGCAAUGCACUCAUGUUGUGAUACUCGCAGAUCAUUUGGAUUGUUUACAACAGAUAGAGGUACCGAUCAGCUAUUACCCCCUCCACGUUUUCUCAUCCAGGCUUGAGACCGGCGAUGGCAGUGUUAAGCAACAAACCUAAAAAUUAUGUCAAAACAAACACAGAGACAACCAACGAUAAUCUCAAAUUAUAACACAACAGAAACCCACGGCCAAGCAUCCAUGUUCACAAGCAGCACGUUACGAUCGUCCACUCGCAUGCAUCUACAACAAUGCCCACCCCCUCUUAUCCAUUUAGACAAGCAGUGUAAAGACACAAGUUUCCAAAUUAUUAUACGACUAGACAAAAGUAUCCACUCUAAAUUCAAGCAUUUGUAACAGUACUAAGCAGGAAAGGAAUAUUGAAGGUAAGAAAUUGACUAAUUAAACAUAUUUUCUAUACAAUCUCUUAUAGGACCAACACUAAUAUGUGGUAUGAUUUUUGGAUAAAUGGGAAGAGUAUCUUUCAAUUAUAUGGUAAUAGAGUAUGAAGAGAUCUUGGGGCUCACAAAAAUUGGAAGGUUUCUGAGUUCAUUACUAAUGGCAUAUGGUGUCUCCCUAAUCUUAUUUCUCAGGAAAUAUUAUCACUUUGAUUGAUUAUUACAGCUAUUCCAAUCAAGAAUAAUUCAUCAAAUAUACUUAUUUGACCUCAUAACAAUGUCAAAUUUAAUGCUACAUUAGCAUGGAAUCAAAUCAGGUAAAGGAACAACAAAUAGAUCCCAAGCAAUUGGACAUGGGACCAAUCGAGUUCACAGAGAUAUUCUUUAUGCACAUGGCAAGCCCUUUUUGCCGAACUACCUAUAAUAUAUAAUAUGAAAAACAGAGAUAUUUAUAUUGUUAACAGAUGCUCCCUUUGUAUGCAAUAGGAAGAAAGUAUUGACCACCUCUAUUUUGCUUAUGACUAUACUAAUUAGAUAUGGAAGGAGAUUCUGUAGAGAUUUAAACUCAACAGGCUACCGCAGCCAAAUUUGUAUUAAAAAUUAGGCAAACUCAUACAAAGCUUCUCAAGAAAAUGGCCUCUUACACAACUAGCAAAGGUUAUUUUUAGAUGCGCUAUUUGGUGGAUUUAGAAGGAGAGAUAUCGUAUAAUCUUUGAAUGUCGAAACACAAAUAAUACUGAGCUUCUGAUAGAGAUUCUUAGAGACUCAAGACAUGUAUGGAGAAAGAUCUGAAAAUAGAGCACUUCACACGAAGAGAGAAAAAUAUUUUUAUCCGAUUCAAUUUUGUUAUCAAUUAAUGAUCUCGGGAAUAAUGUUGAUGAAUUGUAUAUAUCCUGUAGUUAUCUGCUUUAAUAAUGCGAAGUACUCAUAGCUAGUUUAGGCAUGUCUGAAAAAUAUAUUUUAUUUGUUGAUUAUAGUAAGGAGUCAUAGUUUAUAGCAUGUGUAGUCAUCACUAUCUUUUUGUUUGACUAAUCUUGGAGAUAAGUUUAGUGGAGUGAGAUCAUUGCACCUUUUUGAGGUGGAGUACACUCUUCUAGAUUGCUCUAAAGAGAAAUUAAGCUUUUGCCUAUGACUUAUGUAGACAGAGUUAUUUUGUAUAAACUUCAUACUUAAUUUAUUUAUUUUUACUUUAAAAAAAAUAUUAAUAUCCUGUGAUGGCAGUACGAAGCUACAAAAGAACUUACAAACAAUCAACGUUAAGCAACCAGCAAUCAACAUAAGGCAUAUAAGUGCAAAGGUACAUACAAUGACACAUUUGUUCAGUCACUCCAAUCUGUCAAACCAAACCUAAUGUAGAAAACCAUGGAAAUAAGAACAACGAAAUAUAACAAGGUAGGGGUGGUCGAUUAGCAAAACCCUCAAACUGAACCUUACCUGAGACAAACUAUAAUCAACAUCUGCCAUUAGCAAAACGCUGUCAAACCAAACUUAAUAUAAAAAAAACAUUGAAAUAAGAACAAGAACACAUGGUAGGGGUGGUUGAUUAGCAAAGCCCUGUCAAACUGAACCUUACGACAACCUAAAACCUGCACCACUAUUCCACAUCUUCACCAACGAACUGUUCCAGUGCCAUUAUCCUAUAAACUAUAAUCAUGCUGCAGCAUUAUUCAACGGUCAGUCCCAACUAAUAACUCAAUGACUAGACAACCAACGGUCAGUCCCAACAAAUUGAAUCAAAUAUUCCAGUGCCAUUGGGAUGAUCAGUCAACCAAUCAACCAAACAAAGAACCAUCAAUCCAGUUAUUAGCGGCUUCAACCCAAUAUAACAAGCUUCACAUUUACAUGAUCCGCUACCAAUACCAAUGCUCAUGUUGCCAACCAAGCAAGGAAAUGGAAAAAGAAUAAUAAUGAAACCAAGGCUUGUAGGCGAAGUGUUCUAUUUCUUUACAUAAUAAAACCUGCACCAUCUAUCUGAACGUUACACACAAUCUAGUCCAUACCGCAAGAUACUGAUGGUUGUCAAGCAAUCACAAGAUCAACUUCAAAAGCCCAAACAUGAAAAACUUUUUUUGAGGCUACAAAAAGAAUUAUAAUUGGCUUUCCUCCUAAACACAAACAAAUUUUACAAACUUUGCAUGAGCAUAACAAAACUCUUCAGUCAGCCACGACCAUUGCAUUCUUCAAAUUCAAAAGCACUGUUAAUUAGCAUCCCACAUGAAGCCAAUCCUACUAAUUGCAUGUUAUUAUAAGAAAGCCUAUUCGACCAAUUACAACAAAUUACAUUCUGCAAUUGCAAAUGCCCAUAUUCUAGCUGAGUAUGGUUCCCUUCCAGAAGAGUAUCAGAACAUUAAAACCAUUUUUGACCGAUCACAACAAUUACAUUCUUCAAUUGCAAAAGCUCAUAUUCUGGCUAAGAGUUUGGUUCCCUUGGAGAAGAGUAUCAGUACAUUAAAAACCUAAUCAAUUAGAAUACCAGAGCUUGCUCAUGACACUGACAAAAUGCGGAUCCAAAAUCCAGAACCAUUUCAUGUAUGAAAUUGAUGAACCAACAAACUGAACUCAUUGAAACUGACUAUCAUGUCAGGACUCCCAAUAAUCUGACAUACUAUACAUCAUAUACUACUCUUGUGCAGAAUAAGAACCGAUAGAAGAAACUAGAACUCAUCCUGAGCAGACUAAGAAUCAAUUGAAGAAACUAGAACUCAUCCUGAGCAGACCAAGAAUCAACUAAAGAAACUAAGAAACCCAAAUUCUGCUUUCCUUUUAUAAUUAAUGUUUCAAACACAAUGAUAACCAACAGCCCAGAUCUUACCUUUACUGAUUAGCUUUGCUUUCACAACAAAUGUUUCAAAUAUUAGCAAACACUAAACCCUUUCUUGCAGCUAUUAUUAUUGACAUAGUUCUCAGCGCGACCUUCUAGGUUCAUAAAAAAAUAAAAUUUUAUAACAAUAAUAAAACUACUAAAGGAUGCUUAAGUUCAUGACAAACCACAUCUCAGUCGAUGAUACCAAAGAACCCUAACAACACGAAAGAAGAAAAAGAAACUAAAUAGUAGCCACAAAAAUAAAUUAGUGACACAAACACAAAACAACUAAAAGAACAGCAAGUUGGUGCUUUUAUCCCAUGAACCAACGCAGAUCUUAGAUAGCAGCUCAUAAACAUAUAUAUGUCAAUACCAGAAAUAGUGGAGUGCGAUUGAUUGUUCGAGAGAAGUAUCAUGAAUAAGAUCAUUUGUCUAUAAUUAAUGAAAAAGGCCUGACACGGGAGUGCCUAAUUUGCUACAAUUUGUUCAUACGGAUUUUGUUAAUGCUGUGGUAUUUUUUUCAACCCACAAUGCUGCUUCAUAGUCUUCAACUCAGCCUACUCAAAUAUGAUAGCUCAUUAAUAUAUUUCUUAUACAAAGUUAAAGCUAUGUCAAUGUACUUUUCUUCAUGACUAAGGAACACAUUAAAAAAAUGAUCAAAGGAAAUGAAGCAACCUACCAACUAUCAUUAGCAAUGAAUAGAACACAAAAAAACCAAAGAGGAAGGUUUGGUCGAGCGAUUGUGAUGUUUGGUAUUAUUUCUAUUAUUUCAAAGGAAUUAAAAACCAGUAGCAUUAUAAGCAAAGUUUUGAAGAUCUAUCAAUAUCAGAACCUUCUUCCAACCAAGCUCGUGUUAUGUAUCAAACCAUUUGAAGUGGUAAGAGAGCAUAAAAUGGAGUAGGUCCCAAAAUGAUAAAGCAUGAAAGAUAUGAUCGAAAGCAUCAGAAUCCAUAUUACAAAGGAAACAAUGAUCAACUUGGUAGUGAAGAAUGUUUAAAAGUCAUAAAGGGAUUGGGAAACGGUGGCAAAGAAACGUUCUUUUUUACUUUAGGAGCCAUUUUAAGUUGCUAAAUCAUCUUGCAGCCUGACUAGUUAUUUUUCCUGAGGCUUCACCCUCUGUUGAAACAAAUAUUGACACUACUUGUUGAAGUGCUUCUAGAAGGGCUAAAGUUUAGAACCAUAUUUUUAUUGAAUCUCGAAUUUUGAUAAUGAAAUCAAUUGAUAGUAUUUAUAAUUUGAUUUACGUUUUGAGUGACGUAGGAAGCUUCGAUUAGGGAGAAACAAUUAAAGUAGGAAGAAUUAUAUUGGGUCGGAGAGAAAUAUGUCAGAAGAUUGGACGUCGAGCUAAAGGAUCGGUCGACAUAUCAACAGAAGGCCUCGGGCUAUAGGAUCGGGCAUCGGCCAAGAAAAGUGAAAAUUGUGCCAAGGAAAUCAGAGUUGCGGAGGUCAACUAGCUGAUUGAGCAAUAGGCCAUAAGAGAGGAUGAUGCACCGAAGAAUCGAACGAGGCAUCAAUGAACCAAUGACAUGCUUGACAACAUAGCUUAGUAAUAAUUGUCUAGAUUGAAGUAGGCUUUAAGUGUGCAGUAUUAACUACGAUAGUGAUCAAGGCAUAAAGUAAAAUAAAGUCUCGGAGUUAACUCCAUCAUCAAUUAGUUGUCAUCAUAAAAAAUGAGAAGAUUAUUGAAUCUCAGAUUUUGGUGAUGAAACCAAUUGAUAUUGUUUAUAAUUUGAUUUGUGUUUUAAGUGAUGCAGAAAGCUUUGAUCAGGGAGAGACAAUUAAAGUAGGAAGAACCAUGUUGGGCCGGAGAGAAACAUGUCAGAAGAUUGGACGUCGAGCCGAAGGAUCAAUCAACGUAUCGAUAGAAGACCUCGGGCAAUAGGAUCAGGCAUCGGGCCAAGAAGAGCGAAAAUUGUACCAAGAAAAUCGGAGUUACGAAGUUCAACUAGUCAAUUGGGCAAUAGGCCACAAGAGAGGAUGAUGCGUCAAAGAAUCGGACGAGGCAUCGAUGAACCAAUGACAUAUCGGACAACACUUGAUUAGCUUAGUAAUAAUUGUCUAGAUCGAAGUAGGCUUUAAGUGUGCAGGAUUAACUAUGACAGCGAUCAAGGCAUAAAGCAAAAUGAAGUCCUGGAGUCAAGAACGAGAUUUUGUUGGGAGUUUGAGAGUUCGUCGGAAGUUCGGACAUUCAUCAAAAGGUUUGCUGGAAUUGACCGAGAAGUCCAGGAGCUUACCAAAGAAGCUUAUCGGAACUCACUAAGAAGAUCGUUAUGAAGUUCAGGAGCUUAUCGGGAGUCCAUUGGAAUAUUGUCAAGAGAUCAUCGAAAGUUCGGCAGAAGAUCAUUGGAAGCUCGCCGGAAGAAACCUAGACUAAUCAGAUUCAUUUUGCUUAGUAUAUGCCUUAAAAUUCGUAGUUAGCACAUAAUUGGGUUGAAAUUGGGUCAACUCAAUUAGCGGCCAAUUGAGCCCAAGAUUAGGUUGUGUCGGGCUAAGUUGAAGGCCUAAAUAGUGACCCAAUAGGUGGCAUCGUCAUGGCACACUCUCCAAGACUAUGUUAGGCGGUGGUACCGUCGGUUUGGGCAGUGGUACUGCCCAGACAUAAUCUUCGAGAGAUUGUUAAGUGGUGGUAUUACCCAAUGGCAGGGUGUUAGACGAUGGUACCACUAGACUAAGCGGUGGUACCGCCCAGUGUUAGUGCUGCAAAUGGUGGUAUCGCCCAUCAUAGGCAGUGGUACAACUAGGACCCCAAAAACCGAGGAGAGAUAUUUUUAGGCUCUAAGUUUGAAUUCACUUGAAGCAUAUAAAUACCCCUCUCAUCCCUAGUAAACACACACACAACUGAGAGCAAAAAAGAAAAGAAAAUGCUAUUGCAAUCUUGUGUGAACUCAUCUCAAACUCUAAGUGUUAGGCUUGUUUAAGAGAAGAGUGAAGGGGGUUGUAAAGGUUCUCUCAUGAACCUAUCAAAAGGAGAAUUGAGUUUUAAGGAUAGUUGAUCUUCGCCUAUUGAAGGAAGAUUGUUAGUGGAUGCCGGUGGCCUCGACGGAAGAGGAAUCGGCGAAGUGGAUGUAGGUCACGACGACCGAACCACUAUAAAAUCUAGUUUGCAUUUAUGCUUUGCUAUUUACAUUUAUUGCAAACUGCCUUACUUGCUUAACUUUCACAUUACACUCUUAUGUUCGCUUUCAAAGUUAAUAUCUUUCCGAAACGAUUUUUAUCGUACGAAGAUUUUCGAACCGACUCGUUUUUAUCCAUUGCACUAAUUCUUAGUGCCGACUGGUUCUUAACAAUGUCAUCAUUAGGCACUUAAGAGAGCUAGAUAGUGUUAUUUUUAUAUACUAGUGAGCCAUGAACAUCAUAAUNNNNNNNNNNNNNNNNNNNNNNNNNNNNNNNNNNNNNNNNNNNNNNNNNNNNNNNNNNNNNNNNNNNNNNNNNNNNNNNNNNNNNNNNNNNNNNNNNNNNNNNNNNNNNNNNNNNNAUCAUAAUAAUAAUAAGCAAAAAGACUAUAUGUCAUAUCAUACAUGUCAUCACUUAUGUAAUUGGCUUGUAAAGCACUUAUAACUAGCAAAAAUGAUAUACAACAUACUGAAAGCUUCAUAAUUGUGUCGAAUAUGUGUUUGGAUUGUUAAGGUCUUAAUCGAGGUUUUUUUGGGUCAAAUUGAGCUAGUAUUGGACCGAAAUUAUGCUAACUUGUCAAGAAAUCCAUUAGGCUUGUUAGAAGGUCAAAUCAGUAACCUAAAGCAGGUCUAAGCAAUGGUACUGCCAUGCCUAAGUAGUAGUACCGCUUGAGUUAGCCAAAAAGCACAAUUUAUACUUUUUUGACAGUUUAGAUGAUAAUACCGCUUGGACAGAUGGUGGUACCACCAGAGCCUGGAUUAUUGGCCUCGUGAUGACGAUAGUACUGUUCGAUGCCGAUGGUAAUACUGUUAAUACUCUGAAGUUUCAAGGAUUUAAAUUUUUUGCUAUAUUCUUGAAGCCUUUUAGGGUCUAUAAAUGUCUCCCUCAUGCUUGCUUGAUGGGGUACUAAUUCUUGAGCAUAAAAGUAUUGUAAACUCUCUCUUUGAGUAUUGUUUGUGUCUCUUCCUCCUUGAGUUUAAAUAUGAUUCUAAAUUGUAGAAGAUGAGGUCUUUUAAAAAAAAGUGAGCAUGAAGGUUCUCUCCUAAGCCUGUUAAAAGGAGAAUAGUUAUAAUAAGGGUAGUUGAUCUUUUGCCCAAUGGAAAGAAGAUUAAUAGUGAAAGCCGAUGGCCUUGUAAGAAGAUUAAUUGGGAGUGAACGUAGGUCAGGAUGACUGAACUACUAUAAAUCGGUUUGUAUUUCUUCUCUUGCCUUGAUUUGCUAUUGUUUACUGAUUUACUUUACUUGCAACCCUUACUUGUACUUUUGGUUAAUCUCAUUUUCGAUAUGAAUUUAUUGAUCAAAUUUUAAAAUCAAUUAAAAUUGCUAGAGCACUAAUUCACCUCUCCCCUAGUGCCAUUACGAUCCUAAUAAGUUCUUUCAUUAAGGUGUCAGCUAAUGACUUAGUAGUAUAUUUAAAUUAAUAUUUAAAUAUUCUAGUGUAUUAGUUGUAGACUAUAAUUAAGUCUAAAUAUUAUUAGCAAGUAUCAUAAAACUAAGUCUUUUAGACUUUUUCUGAUUAGUUAUCUCAAUUGUUUGUUUUACAUAACUUUCAGUAAUUAAGCCUAUCCUCAAGUAUACCUUCAGUAGUUAUAUUCACUAAUCUGAUCAAGGUCUAAUACACCAAAUACAAAUUACAUAUGCUCAAGUCAUUUAAUUCAGAAAAUAUAGGGAUAUUUAUAAGAAUACAAUAAAGGAAGUAUCACUAUGAUAAUAUAAUAUUAAUGCUUUAAGUUCUUCAAUAAAUAUUGAACUAUUGUUAUAAUCUCUAUUUAAUUUUGGGUGAAAUAUUGGCAUAGUUAGUGUUCAUAUAAAAUUAUUUAUGAAUGACUUAUACCAUCGUCAUGAAAUAAUAUUGUUACCUUUGGGAAUACAACCCUAAACUGUAAGGAUAUAAAAAAUAGUAUUAUUCUACCCUAUCACAUAAUUAUUCAAAAUAGAUUCUCCUUUGGGAUUAUCUAAAUCUCCUAAUCAUGUAUGAUAUUUUGAAUAUUAUUUUUUAAUAUUAUUUAGGACUAAUUCUUUAAUAUAAUUUUAUAAGUUAUUGGUCCAAAUCACUUUGGUGGCUACAUAACCAAAUUUAAAAUAUCAUAUAAAUGAUAAGAUUUUUAUUGUAAUUCACAUCUCAUAAGUCUACUAUCUCAGGUUAUGAAAGGAUAUUUGUACCCUCAAUGAUGUAGCGAUUGUGCAGUGUCAAUGUGUACAAUGAUUGCAGCAAAAUUGCUGCUACUGAUUGUAGUAGUUGUGAUAGCAUCGCUGCUAGAAGCCAACGUCAAUUGGAUGCCAGCAACCGCAUGUAGGUGGCGAUUGCACCACGCGCAAUGGCUGUGACUGGUAGCUGCGACACCUUGCAUAGUGGUUGUGGGUGACAGUCGUGUCAUGUGCAAACGAUGAUUGUUGUGAUUUAUAUUACAACAACGACGCAUUACGUAGUGGCUGUAGUGCCUCGCCCAAGUGGCGGUCGCACACUAUAGCGAUCAUGACCCUCUCAAGUGGCGACCACCCUCGAUGACACUAUCGCCAAUAACAAACUAUCGAUAGUGAUCUAUCAAUCAAACAUAAGAAACCUUACAUCAUCUGCAAGCAGGUGAUAAGAUAAAUUGAAUAGAAAAACAUAUCGACAAUACUAACGAAUCCUUUAUGCAUCAUAAAUAAAAACAUCUAACACUAUUUUGCAAGUGAAAGAUGUUAACAAAUAGAUCAAAAGUAUCUAAUUUUAAAACUAUAACUUUGAUACCAAUUGUAAGCAUAAAAACAAAAUAUGCUAUUAUUAAGUGAAAGAAUUUUAAUUUCAAAAAUCUGAAAUUAAAUAAAAAUAUAUACGAUGUGUAUCUUUCAAUAUUGUUACUUCUUUUGGUUUUGUAUCUUGAUCAAGGUUCGUGAUUUCGUAUCGCACCAGAGUUUCGACGUUCGCUCGGUACGGUAUGAUACUGUAUAACGAGCGAUAUAUCGUUCGGUAUACCGUUCGGUAUAUAUAUUUAUAUUUAUAUAUAUAUAAUUCGGUGAUGUCAUCGAAGCAACGUCGUCUCGUUUAUAUAUAUGUAUAUAUAUAUUAUAUAUAUAAAGUUUAUAUAUAUUUAUAUAUAAAUAUUUGUCGAAAAAGGCGAUGUCGAAGAAAAAGGCGAUGCGACGUCGUCUAUAUAUAUAUAUAUAUAUAUAUAUAUAUAUAUAUAUAUAUAUAUAUAUAUAUAUAUAUAUAUAUAUAUAUAUAUAUAUAUAUAUAUAUAUAUAUANNNNNNNNNNNNNNNNNNNNAUAUAUAUAUAUAUAUAUAAUUGUUUCGUCCGGUAACGGGCGGUUCGUGUAUCAGUCAGCUGACGGACCGAUAUGUACUACCCGUACCGGACAGUAUUAUUCGAAAUUGCAUACCUUGAUCUUGAUUAUGUUAUGAACUAUUUCAAUAUGGUUAAAGAGAUCUUACCGGUCCGUAUCGAGCUGACUAGUUGUUGGUAUUGUACGUAUCGAGCUGUAUCGAAACAUGGUACAUUGGGACAUAUUGAUAUACUACCCAUACCGGUUCCUUGUUGGAUUGGUAUAUACCGCUCAUACUGGUACGCUAUGGUACAACGAACCUUGAGUGUAAGAGUUAUAAAUAAGUUCAAUAUCUCCUACUGACAUCCACAUAGUUAUAGUUGCCUUGUUUUUUGUUUUGUGUUUUUUGUGUGUUCGGUAAAUUAAUAAUUUGUUUGUUUAAUGUUUUCUGUUUGGCAUUUGUAUUGUCACAAAAGCUGCUUCCUCUUGAGUAUCUUCAAUAAAAAAGAAACCAUGCCCAUUGGUGAACAUUUUGUUGGCAGCAUUCUAAUGCAUGUUAAGGAACAUCAUCAUGAUAAUUAUAAGCUUCUCUGAGAGCAGCUGUAGGAAAAACUUGGAUUUUGUUCUUUACUGGCAGGGCUUAUGAAUGAUACUGGUGUUUUGAGUUCGAGACUUAAAUAAGCCCAUUAACUUACUCUAGAGGCUGUUCUGGUUAUGUAAGCCACACAUUAAUAUGAGCAAAUACAUCAGAAUUUCUAAAUUGGAUACUGGUGAACCUACAUGGUACAUGGAUACAGAAUGGGGUAUUCAUAAUUUCAUAUUAUUGUCUAUCUUAUAGCUUGAGCUAAUCAGCCGUAAGUGUUAUUUUUUUGGUAAUGUUGAAAAGAAGUUUCAGGAGUCCCCACAAAAUUAAAUGUUUCAGUGGCAUCAAUGUUAUACAAACUCCCUAUACAAAAUUCUUGUAAAAACUUCAGUGGUGAAGAACCUCAUCGGUUGUUUGCAUUGAUUUAUUCAAGGUUGUGGAAGGCAUUAACAAUUUUUUUGUAGUUGAAAGUUUUUUUGUGGUGCAUCAAUAUGUUGGGAUUGUUUUUUGUCUUCUUAGAACUCUGACAUGUAUAUUCCUUUUAUAUUAGACAUCAAAGAAAUUUUUAUUUUUUAUCCGUUGUUAGUUGUAAUUUUUUACUAGGAUGUUUUUUGAUUGUGAUGUCAAAAGAGUGCUCUUAAGUGAUUUAAAGGUAGCACAGUUGUGGUGUUAGAACACUGUUUUAGUGAUCAUUCAAGUAUUUAGAUGUUAUUUUAAGCACUAUGUAGCCUUGUUUGGGUAACUACCUUUUUAUGUCGUGUAUUGUGUGUAUGCCCUAUACUGUGUAUAUGUAAUGUGUACUUGUGAGUAUCAAAACAACAGGCGUUUCACAUUACAAGUCCUCUUCCCUUUCCUUUUAUUUGCAUCAGACUUUAGAUAUUUAGUUGUUUUGUAAUUAUAUGUGAAUUUUUUGCAUGUCUUGCGCAACUGAUGUGUGUUCUGUCUUGCAAUGUCUAUAAUUCCUUGUACAAGACCAUACUGGAAAGACAUGAGAAUGUCUUGGUUGUUGCAUUUGGUGAUGUGUAUUUAUGCUAGAUUUAUUUUCGACUACAUAGAUUAGCAAUAACUUUAUAUGUUAUAUUUAUGUCCCUGUUCAUGUCUAGUGAAUUCAUCAUGGAAAUUUGAUAAUGCUUAGAAAUUGUGAUUGUUCUGUUUUCUGAAUAUUUGUCAUGUACUUUAUAUGUUAUAUUUAUGCAACUUUUGAUCCGUUUUCAUCCUUUCUUUCUGACUUGUUAUCCAUUCCACGCUUCUGACAGAAAUUGUCACAAUGUUGUAUAGUAAUGUCAUUUUAUUCCCCUUCGAUAGUAUAAUUUUGAAUUGCCUUGCCGUCCAUUCGAACCAAAGAAUUGUAUCUCAACUAUUAGACAUACACUAGUUUAGGUCUAAGAAUAAUAUUGAGUAUUAGACCUAUAUCUGUUUAGUCCCACAUUGGUAUAGGUCUAAACCAUAUUGGCGGGGAAGGGUGUGGGGGAGGCAUCACACAUAGAGCCACGAGGCCUUGUAGUGGGAGCAUAGGGCGAGGGCGACGGACGGGCUAAGGGUAGAAUUACAACAAUUAGGGGUACUAUUUGGGUAAAACGAAAAUAAGGGGUAUCUUAUGGAAAAAAAAAGGGCAUCAACAAUAUAUUUACGAGCUCUUACUAACCUACUUAGUUGAUUUUUCUUCUUUCAUGUUGUUAGGGUUCUCUGGUAUCAUUGAUUGAGAUGUGAUCUAUCAUGAACUUAAGCAUCCUUUAGUAGUUUUAUUAUUGUUAUAAAAUUCUAUUUUUUUAUGAAACCUAGAAGGUCGGGCAGAGAACUAUGCCAAUAAUGAUAGCUAAUAUUUAGAUCUGGGCUGUUGGUUAUCAUUGUGUUUGAAACAUUAAUUGUAGAAGGAAAGCGAAAUUUGGGUUUCUUAGUUUCUUUAGUUGAUUCUUGGUCUGCUCAUGAUGAGUUGUAGUUUCUUCAGUUGAUUCUUAGUCUGUUCAGGAUGAGUUAUAGUGUUUCUUCUAUCGGUUCUUGUUCUGCACAAGAGUAGUAUAUGAUGUAUAGUAUGUCAUCUUAUUCUACACAAGAGUAGUAUAUGAUGUAUAGUGUGUCAGAUUAUUGGGAGUCCUGACAUUGAGUCAGUUUCAAUGAGUUCAGCUGGUUGGUUCAUCAAUUUCAUACAUGAAAUGGUUCUGGAUUUUGGAUCCGCAUUUUGUCAGUGUCAUGAGCAAACUCUGGUUAUUCUAAUUGAUUAGGUUUUUAAUUUGCUGAUACUCUUCUCCAAGGGAACCAUACUCUUAGUUAGAAUAUGAGCUUUUGCAAUUGAAGAAUGUAAUUGUGGUGAUUGGUCAAAAAUGGUUUUAAUGUUCUGAUACUCUUCUGGAAGGGAACCAUACUCAGCUAGAAUAUGGGCAUUUGCAAUUGCAGAAUAUAAUUUGUUGUAAUUGGUCGAAUAGGCUUUCCUGUAAUAACAUGCAAUUAGUAGGAUUGGCUGGGAUGCUAAUUAACAGUGCUUUUGAAUUUGAAGAAUGCAAUGGUCGUGGCUGACUGAAGAGUUUUGUUAUGCUCAUGCAAAGUUUGUUAAAUUUGUUUGUGUUUAGGAGGAAAGCUAAUUAUAAUUCUUUUUGCAGCCUCAAAAAAAGUUUUUCAUGUUUGGGCUUUUGAAGUUGAUCUUGUGGUUGCUUCACAACCAUCAGUAUCUUGCGGUAUGGAUUAGAUGUGCAAGGUUCAGAUAGAUGGUGCAGGUUUUAUUAUGUAAAGAAAUAGAACACUUCGCCUACAAGCCUUGGUUUCAUUAUUAUUCUUUUUCCAUUUCCUUGCUUGGUUGACAACAUGAGCAUUGGUAUUGGUAGCGGAUCAUGUAAAUGUGAAGCUUGUUAUAUUGGGUUGAAGCUGCUAAUAACUUGAUUGAUGGUUUUUUGUUUGGUUGAUUAGUUGAUUGAUCAUCCCAAUGGCACUAAAAUGGUUGAUUCAAUUUGUUGGGACUGACCGAUGGUUGUCUAGUCAUUGAGUUAUUAGUUGUGACUGACUGUUGAAUAAUGCUGCAGCAUGAUGCCGAUUAUAGUUUUGACAUAUAAUGGCACUGGAACUGUUUGUUGGUGAAGUUGUGGAAUAGUGGUGCAUGUUUUAGGUUGUCAUAGGGUUCAAUUUGAUUGGGCUUUGCUAAUCAACCACCCUUACCAUGUGUAUUUGUUCUUAUUUCAAUGUUUUUUUAUAUUAAGUUUGGUUUGAUAUCGUUUUGCUAAUGGCAAAUGUUGAUUAUAGUUUGUCUCAGGUAAGGUUCUGUUUGAGGGUUUUGCUAAUCGACCACCACUACCAUUUUAUAUUUCGUUGUUCUUAUUUCAAUGGUUUCCUACAUUAGGUUUCGUUUGACAGAUUGGAAUGACUGAACAAAUAUGUCAUGUCAUUGUAUGUACCUUUGCACUUAUAUGUCUUGUACUUUUGUUUGUUGCCUUUUUGUGGGCUUGAAAUUUUUUUGCAUUUAUUUUAUGUUUCAGCAGUGUUGGAUGGUUUUGUUUGUUGCCUAUUAAUGUGUGAUCAUAUUUUUUUUCAUAUAAAUACAAAUUUAGUGGAAUUUGUUUGUUUCUUUCUUUUUGUCGAACAUUAGUCUUUGAAUAUUUUUGUUAUUUUGUUGUAUUUGGUGUAUUGUAAUAUAUUAUUUUUCUUUGGUUUAUGUAUGCUUCUGUUGUAGAUGCGGAUGACCUAAACUAUUUCUUUCCAAUGUUUCUUCAAUUUGGAGUUAUGAUAGUAUAAUAUUGGUUGACCUAAACGGCCUCCUUGGAACUCUAUAGAGGUUCCUCCUUUCAAGUUGCUGUUCAAAGACCGUAGAAAAGAUUCAUCUAUUAUUUUUGAAAAGAGGUGGAAUACAUGACUAUUUAUUAUAUGGCUUCUAAACCCUAACUCCUAAUAUGACUUUUACUUAAGACUCAUACUUCUAAUCAACUCUUAGUAAGACUUCUACUCAAGACUCUUAUUCCUUUUACAACUCCUUAUUCUUCUCUAAGAAAUAACCUCCUAACGCUAGCAAGCAUUUUCACCUAUUUAAUAGGGGUUGGCUUAGGUAGGUUUUACAUGAAUGUCUCUCUCAAUUAGGACUCUUCUAGCUAGAGUCCUAAUAGAUUCGUCAUUUUCAAAUCAGCUUUGUCCUCGAGGCUGACGAUUCAUGAAUUUUGAGAAUUUGAUUUUCAAGUUAUCAUAGUUCUCUCAAGUGGUAUCUUCUGUUAGUAGGUUUGCUCAAUGUAUUAGCAAUUCAACAGUGGAUCGUCGUUGUCGAGUCAGGAUCCGUCGAUCAAUAAUGGCACUUGGCUAAGUCUGAAGUUUUCCUUGGGUAGUCAUAUUUGGUGGGUGGUUUUGGGUUGUCUCCAAACACCUAUUUACAAUUUUCGUCUGACCAUCGGUUUGUGGGUGAUAUGCCAUACUCAUUUUAAAUUUAGUACCCUGUAUAUGGAACAACUUUGUCCAAAAUCUACUCGUGAAGAUGCAAGUAGAAUUUAUCAUAAGCACAAUGCGUCUUUUAUAAUGUAAUUCUUUUGAAUCUAAAUUGUAAUGAGCCAUGGGGUUUGGGGCUUCCUCCAAUUUUUUUAUAAUCUUACUAAUCUUUGAAUAUUCCCGUCAUUCCAUCUUAAUAUUCUUAAGAAAGUCGCUGGUCGGAAGUGAAACAAUCGAAACUUCAACUUGCUCGGGUAGUUGCGAAAGCGCAUCUGUAAGAACAUUCUCUUUUCCCUUUUUGUAAGUUAUUUCAUAAUCAAAUCCAAGAAGUUUUGUUACCCAUUUUUGUUGCUCAAGGGAUAUCUUUCGCUCCAAAAAGUACUUGAGGCUUUUAUGGUCGAUUUUAAUUUAAAAUCAUCGGCCAAUCAAGUAGGGUUUCCACCUCGUUGCUGCGCGCACAAUGGUGAGCAUCUCCUUAUCAUAUGUUGACUUAUUUUGAUGGGAGGGAGAUAAUGCCUUGCUAGUGUAUGUGAGUGGUCGACCAUCUUGCAUGAGAAUGACUUCAAUUCUGACUCCCGAUGCGUCGGCCUCAAUAAUGAAGGGUCGGUUGAAAUCUGGUAGUGUUGGCAUCGGCGUCGUCGUCAUGGUUGCCUUAAGUUUGUCGAAGGCAACGGAGGCUCUGUUCGACCAUUGGAAGACAUUUUUUUUUAGUAAGGAAGUAAGUAGUGCACUGAUCUCUCUAUAGUUUUUCACGAACUUGCAGUAGUAGCCUGUUAAACCUAGAAAGUCAUGUGGCAAUUUUAUGUUCCUCGGGGUCAACUAGUUUUGCAUUGCUCCAAUUUUGAAGGGGUCUACUGCCACACCUUCCUCUGAUAUGAUAUGUCCAAGAUAUUCCACUUUCUUUUGAAGAAAGCAAAAAUUUAUAGUGAUUGUUGUGUUCAAAAUGUGGUUUUUGGUAUGUCUUCUUCGCAUACUCGUAUUUGAUGAUACCCGGAUCAAAGGUCCAGCUUUGUAAAGAUUUAUGCUCCCUUUCAUCUAGCAAUUCAUCUGCUAUUGGAAUAAGGUAUUUGUCCUUGAUGGUUAUGCCAUUGAGAGCUCGGUAAUCAAUGUAUAUUCGUCAUGUUUCGUCCUUGCGUACAUGUAGCACCAGUGAAGAGUAGAGGUUGCAACUUGGCCGAAUAACUCCUGUUUCGAGCAUCUCUUUUACAAUCAUUUCUAUUUCAUCCUUCUGGAGAUAUAGAUACUGAUAUGACCGAGUAUUUGCUGGAGGUUUGCCUGAAAGAAUCGUUAUAUAAUGAUCAUACCGACGGGUAAGAGAUAGGUUGUGCAGUUCGUCAAAUAUAUCUAAAAAUUUAGCAAGCAAAGGAAGUAGGUUUGGAUCUUCAAAUUCUAUUGGCUCUCUGUUAGUUUGCUGCUCAAGUUGUACCAAAAAGCCGCUGCAUGUUUUAUGCAAAACCUUCUUCAUUUGUUGUGUGCAAAUCGUCGUUACGUCGCCCCCACGUUUCCCAUUCAGUAUCACCUGUUUCUCCUUACUGUAAAAUUUCAUAAUUAGUUACAUAAAAUUUCAAGAAAUAUCACCUAAUGUCGUCAACUAUUUAAUUUUGAGCAUGGCCUCAUGAUCAUCAAGAGGGAGAAGGAAGAAAUAUGUAAUUAUCUCUUGGUAAGGCCUCAUGAUCAGCAAUAGUUUCACUUGCGGGCGCCUACGAUCAUACUUCAAAAUCCAUCCAUCGGUGACCUUAACGUCAAACCUGUUGCAAUUCUCGAUAGGUAAGGCCAUUUGGAUAGUAACCUCACUGUUUAGAAAGUUAUUAGUACUGCCUGUGUCGAUGAGAAUAGUGAUCGGUUGUUGUUUGAGAAGGCUUCCAACUUUCAUCGUUUACGGGUUUGAGUAGUCGGCUAGUGUAUGUACCGUAACUUCGGUCGGUUGUGGCUCUUCUUCUGCAUAUUCUUCUUCAUGUUUAAUGACCUCUUCUUCUAUUGGUUCAAUCAUAAGAAGUCUUCUUUUACUACAUCGAUGCUCACGGCUCCACGGCUCGUCACAAUGCCAACAUAACCCCUUCGUAUAUUGCUCCCGAAGCUCUUCUCUUGUUAACCUCUUUGGUGUAGGGACUUGGUCGACAGUAGGGGGCUGAGGGCUUCAAUAUUACUGGUUGAGGAGCGACCCUAGUCCUCCGAGCUUCAUGGUUCAAUUGCUCCUCUUGAUAUCGUGCGAAAGAGAUGGCUGCCAUAAGCGUAUACGGUUGUCGCGCUUUAACUUCUCCUCGGAUCUCCGGCUUUAAGCCCUCAAUGAAGGUUCUCAAUAGUUGUUUUUGAGACCAAUCACGAGUUCGACUAGAUAACCUUUCAAACUUGGUUUGGUACUCCUGAAUUGUGGAGGUUUGUCGGAUCUUUGCUAGUUGUCCGUCAAUAUUCUCGUAAUCGGUUGGUCUGAAGCGGAUCAGCAGUCCUUUUUUAAAUUGUUGACAUGAAAGGACUCCAUAAGUAUGUUCAAAAUAGUCAAACCAUUGUAUAGCAUCCCCUUCAAGAUGUAUAGCUGUAAUUUUCACCAUAGAUGCAUCCACGAUUUUGUGAUACCGAAAAUAUCACUCCGCGCGCGAGAUCCAACUAAUCGGGUCUCCUUCUUCCUAUCUAGGGAAGUCCACUCUCAUGCAUGGAUAGUUGGGGUUGGUCAUAGAGCUUCCCUCUCUUCAAAAGUCAUAUUUUCGGGCUUGGUGUGAUUGGGCAAAGCUCUCUCGUUGAUGAUUUCUUCGGGCUUAGUGGUCGGCCCAAUCUGAGUUCGGUAAAGAGCGUCUGAAUCUUAUCCUCCAUUCGUGCCUCGAAGGCUUCGAAUUUAGCAUUGAUUACCUCUUCAGAUGCCAUAGUAUAUGCCGCCAAAUCUGUGAUGUUAAAAUCUCUCUUUUGUUGUCGGGUUAAAAGCAUGUAUUGGUUGAGAGAGGUGAUGGUCGAAAGAGUUGGUGGAUUGGUGGAUGUAGACUACGGUUUAGGCUUAUUUUAUGGCUAUUUUAGGUGCAGUUUGAGGGUGUGGUUUGGUGGAGUUUUAGGGCUGUAGGUGAAAGUUUUGGAUCUGUGGUAUAUGAUAGCAAAGGUUUGAUAAAAAUCGGUGGAAGUUGCAGCAAGUAUGUGCUGUCUUGUAAGAGUAGAAUUGUCGUCGAAGAAACAACGGUUUCUCGACGUAAUUUCCACCAAAGACUUGAGAGAAUUGAUGAGGGAAUUGAUAGCAAAAUCACAGUUUAUAUGACAGCAAGAAUAUCUAAUUUAAUCAAGAAAAUUUUGGCAGUAUAACAGCAAGGAAAUUGGUGCAAGUUGCGAUUGUAGAAUUCUCGUCAAAAAAUUUCAACGGGUUAUAACGAAAAUUUGUAGCAACACAAAAUCGUUUUUAGAGAUGAAUUUCUUAAUAGAUCAAUCUUAGAUGGAAGCCAAGAUGAUCUAUGAAGUGUAUAAGAAAUUUCAUUCAAAAAAGAUUGCAAAUAGAUAGGCUAAGGCAACAAUAUGCGCUUGAAAUUUUCUGCAGCACAGAUUUUUAAGUAUAGCAGAUUGGACAUAAAAGAUUAGUGGUUUAUAUUGAGAAUUUUUUGAUGAAACCAAAGGGAAAUCCACUAUUAGGAAGUGUCAAAGCGAUCAUAAAAAUUUCGUAGAGAUUUGGAUAGAAACAACGUAGUAUCAAGAUCAAACAGACGGUGUUAUACGGUUGGAAUUCUGCAAUGUAUCUUUCGUCGAAGAGAUGAAAACUUUAUGACGAAAAGUUUAUGCAGCAAUAUAUGAAUACUUUUUUUGGGAUUGUUAAAUAAGGAUAACUAAAUUGCAGCAGUAGUAACGUAGAAAAACAAAACCUGUUGCAAUUCACGGGGAGAUCAAAGGAUGAUCCGUGGUGGUGGAGAUGACGGCGGAAUUUGGUAACGAUCUCUUAAGCAAUUAUGGGAAUUUCUUUGGGCGAUUGUGGAGGGUUGAUGGAUGGCUAUGGAAGGGCAGCGAGACGCUAAGAACGCUGCUCUGAUACCAGGUGUUAGAACCCUUGCAGAUUUUAAACUUGGGGUUGAUCUCUUUAGGGGAUCGGCCUCCUUGGAACUCUAUAGGGGUUCCUCCCUCCAAGUUGCUGCUCAAAGACUGCAGAAAAGAUUCAUCUAUUGCUUAUGAAAAGAGGUGGAAUACAUGACUAUUUAUAGGGCUUCUAAACUCUAACUCCUAAUAGGACUCUUACUUAAGACUCCUACUUCUAACCAACUCCUAAUAGGACUCCUACUCAAGACUCCUACUUCUAACCAACUUCUAAUAAGACUUCUACUCAAGACUCCUAUUCAUUUACAACUCUUUAUUCUUCUCUAAGAAAUAACCUCAUAACCCUAGCUGGCCUCUUCACCUCUUUAAUAGGGGUCGGCUUAGGUAGGUUUUACAUGAAUGUCCCUCUCAAUUAGGACUCUCCUAGCUAGUGUCCUAACAGUUUAGCACCGUUACAAAUGCUUCAAUUUGGAGUGGAUACUUUUGUCAAGUUGUGUAAUAAUUUGGAAACUUUUGUGUCUUCACAUUGAUUGUCUAAAUGGAUAAGAGGGGGUGGGCAUUGCUGUAGAUAAUGCAUGCGAGUGGACGAUCGUAAUGUGUUGCUUGUGAACGUGGAUGCUUGGUCGUGGGUUUCUGUUGUGUUAUAAUUUGAGAUUUUCGUUGGUUGCAUUUAUGUUUGUUUUGACAUAAUUUUUAGGUUUAUUGCUUGACACUGCCAUUGCAUGUUUCAAGCUUGGAUGAGAAAACGUGGAGGGGGCAAUAGCUUAUCGGUACCUCUCUGUUGUAAACAAUCCAAAUGAUCUGCGAGUAUCACUACAUGAGUGCAUUGCUCAACCUGCCCAUAGGAGCAACUUGUAUGACUCUCAUGUUUGGUUUUAGAAAUUCGAACUCUAGGGAUAAUAUUUCUCUUUGAGGUUUCUGUGUAGUGUACAUUGUAUGUAUAAUAUCUUUUCAAAAUGGAAUGUUUUUUAAAAUUAGAAUUUUUUCUAGGGUAAUAUUUCUAUAGAUGUAUUAGAACUUCCAGCAAGUCUGAGAUUUUUUUUUUUGGAUAAUAAUAGAUGUUUUUGAGUGUCAUUCAAAAGUGAAGUGUCUUCUAUAAAAGUUAAUCAUAAAAACUUCUAACAUCACUAACACUAGUGGGUUUUGGUCACUUUUUAAUUAUUUUCAUGUUUUCUUGAUUAACAUGUAUUUUUUAUUGUUAAUAACAUAUCCAAGAAAAGUAAAUUUAUUAGUGCAAAAAGUAUAUUUUUUAAGAUUUACAUAUAAUUUUUUUUCUAAGUAUAUAAUUUUUUUUAAAUAUAUUACAUGUUCAUUUAAACUUUUACUAUACAUAAGUAUAUCAUCAAAAUAAAUCAAUAUAAAUUUUCUAAUGUAAUUUUGAAAAAUAUGGUUCAUCAUGUUUAGUUUUUCAUUUGUCUCGCUCACGCAUUCUUAGUAGAUGGUAUCUAGAUUUUAAAUUAUUUUUUGAAAAUAUAUAGGAAUCGUGUAAUUAAUCCAAUAUGUUAUCUUGCCAAUGAGUAAGAUGUCUAUAUCGUGAUUUUGUUGAUGGGUCUACAAUCAAUGUAUUUUUUUAAGAUUCAUCUUUUUUGGUUCCUAACAAAACAAGAACUAUACAUGGAUUCAUACUUUCUUACACACUUAUUUUUGGAUAUCCUUNNNNNNNNNNNNNNNNNNNNNNNNNNNNNNNNNNNNNNNNNNNNNNNNNNNNNNNNNNNNNNNNNNNNNNNNNNNNNNNNNNNNNNNNNNNNNNNNNNNNNNNNNNNNNNNNNNNNNNNNNNNNNNNNNNNNNNNNNNNNNNNNNNNNNNNNNNNNNNNNNNNNNNNNNNNNNNNNNNNNNNNNNNNNNNNNNNNNNNNNNNNNNNNNNNNNNNNNNNNNNNNNNNNNNNNNNNNNNNNNNNNNNNNNNNNNNNNNNNNNNNNNNNNNNNNNNNNNNNNNNNNNNNNNNNNNNNNNNNNNNNNNNNNNNNNNNNNNNNNNNNNNNNNNNNNNNNNNNNNNNNNNNNNNNNNNNNNNNNNNNNNNNNNNNNNNNNNNNNNNNNNNNNNNNNNNNNNNNNNNNNNNNNNNNNNNNNNNNNNNNNNNNNNNNNNNNNNNNNNNNNNNNNNNNNNNNNNNNNNNNNNNNNNNNNNNNNNNNNNNNNNNNNNNNNNNNNNNNNNNNNNNNNNNNNNNNNNNNNNNNNNNNNNNNNNNNNNNNNNNNNNNNNNNNNNNNNNNNNNNNNNNNNNNNNNNNNNNNNNNNNNNNNNNNNNNNNNNNNNNNNNNNNNNNNNNNNNNNNNNNNNNNNNNNNNNNNNNNNNNNNNNNNNNNNNNNNNNNNNNNNNNNNNNNNNNNNNNNNNNNNNNNNNNNNNNNNNNNNNNNNNNNNNNNNNNNNNNNNNNNNNNNNNNNNNNNNNNNNNNNNNNNNNNNNNNNNNNNNNNNNNNNNNNNNNNNNNNNNNNNNNNNNNNNNNNNNNNNNNNNNNNNNNNNNNNNNNNNNNNNNNNNNNNNNNNNNNNNNNNNNNNNNNNNNNNNNNNNNNNNNNNNNNNNNNNNNNNNNNNNNNNNNNNNNNNNNNNNNNNNNNNNNNNNNNNNNNNNNNNNNNNNNNNNNNNNNNNNNNNNNNNNNNNNNNNNNNNNNNNNNNNNNNNNNNNNNNNNNNNNNNNNNNNNNNNNNNNNNNNNNNNNNNNNNNNNNNNNNNNNNNNNNNNNNNNNNNNNNNNNNNNNNNNNNNNNNNNNNNNNNNNNNNNNNNNNNNNNNNNNNNNNNNNNNNNNAUUUUUUGAAAAUAUAUAGGAAUCGUGUAAUUAAUCCAAUAUGUUAUCUUGCCAAUGAGUAAGAUGUCUAUAUCGUGAUUUUGUUGAUGGGUCUACAAUCAAUGUAUUUUUUUAAGAUUCAUCUUUUUUGGUUCCUAACAAAACAAGAACUAUACAUGGAUUCAUACUUUCUUACACACUUAUUUUUGGAUAUCCUUGGUCUCUUCGGGGUUGUAUUUAUAUGCUGGGUUAUUUGGUAUGCUUACAAAAUCAAUUUGAUCCUCAAUUUCUUAAAUUAUUGUUUAAUCCUUAAAAACUUCCUGGGGUAAGAGAUUUUUUUUUUUUUUUCAAAAGAUCAAUAAUAACAUUAAGCAAAUUCGUAUCAAUUUUAUUAGUAAUAAUUAAAAUAUCUUUGUACAUAAGUACAAAUAAGGGUUGUUUCAUGGUUAAGAUUUUAUUUACAUCACUCAUUUUGGUGUAAAUAUUUAUUUAUUUUUUCAUAAGCUUUUUUUGUUCUCUCUUCUUGUGUUUCCUAAUACUUAUUUUUAUCACUAAUUUUUUUUUUCUUUAUUACUUUAUCCCUAAAGUUUUGGUUAAUGAAGACUCAAACUCCUUGUAUUGUUGUUUUUUAUAUAUUUGAUCUUAAAAAAUUAUCUUUGGAGGCAAUGGUCGAAGCUGAUAUUUUUGCCUAUCUAUGAUCAAAGAAUAAUGAUUCUUGAACCGAUCAUAUAUUAUCCUUUGAUCAUAUUGCCAAGGUUUUCCUAACAUAUAACCAACAUACAUAGGUACUACAUUACAUCAAACUUCAUCCUUAUAUUUACGAAUUGAAAAAUAAAUUAACACUUGAUUUAUUUGUAGUACAUUAUCAAUCAAUCAUUGUAUUUUGUAAGGUUUUAGAUAUUUGAUAAUAGGUAAUUUCAGCUUCUCCACGAGCAAGGUGCUUGUCACAUUUAUUCAACUUCCAUUAUCAACAAUCACAUUGCAUAAUUUGUUAGUAAUCAAAUAAUAAGUAUGAAAAAGAUUUUCAUCAUUUUAAUUACUAAGUGUGCAUUGAACAAUUAGAUUUUCACCUUUAGUAUACUAUACAUGGAAUGUCAUCAUCAUCUUCUCUCACUUUCAGAUUUUAUAAUUUUAUCAUUCAUAAUUAUAACUCUUUUAUUAGGAUAUUAACGUGUCACAUGUUCAUACCAAAGGCACUUAACAUUUAAUGCCUCUAGUUUGAUUACGUUGAUUCUUACCUAAUUGAUUCAUUUUUAUCUUUAUUGUUUGAUUUAUUUUUGUUUUUAGUUUUAUUAAUUUUAAAUUUAAUAAUUAAUGGGUUUAUCAUCAUUUUUACUUUAAUGUGAUUUUCAAGAAGAACCCGAAUAAGGUUUUGAAUCAUACCUUGUGUCUUUUAUUUUGAGUUGCCUCUCAAUCUUUAUGGGUACAUUCACCAUGUCCUUAAUCUCUACGUAUUGUUGCAAAUCCCUAUAGUAAUAGCUAGAGACAAAUCUACUCAUGAUUUGUUUUAUCUCCAACCAAAUCUCAAUGGGCUUUUUAUCAUUUCUACGUUUGUCUUUACAUAAUUAAUCCCAUCAAAUAGUAACAUAAUUAAAAAAUUCAACAACGAUUAAUUUUAUCUUUCUCUUCGGAGUAGUUGUGAUAUUCAAAGAUUAACUUCACUUUUUUGUUUCCACUUUAAAUAUGCAUCUGGAUUAUUUUUCUCUUGAAAAGAUGAAAUUUUCAUUUUGUUGCCGCUUAUGAUUUUAUCCACAGCAUCAAAAUGUCCUCUCUUAGUUUGUCUCCUAGGAUUAACAUCUUGAUCAAUUAUUGUAAUGUCAUCUCCACCAUCAUCUUCAUUAUCAACAAAGGUUGAUUCUCUCAUAUUAUGAUUCACAUUAUAAUCUAUUAAUUGUAACAUCAUGUCUUUUUAGAUGAUCUUUUACAUCUCCCAUCACUUUGAACAUAUGUUAAAAUUGUUGAUGCAAGAAUUAUUUGAUGAAUUCAUUUUUUUAUCUUUAGACAUGUUUAGAAAAACAAAGUUAGAAUAACCUCACCGAUACUUCCUCACGUGGUUCACUUAAGAUUUGAUUUAUUCCACUUGUGUUUCACACAAUUUUUGGUCGAUCUCGAUAUUGAUCUCACCACUCUUGUUUUUUACCUUUUUUGUUUUGUUCUAUUCUUAGAUUAACUAAUAUACAUAAAUAAAUAAUUUAAAUUAUGAUAAUUUGAGGGUAGUAAAAUUAGACAGAUAUAAAAGAAAUUGAAAGAUUGGCUAAUUUAAAGAUACGUGCAAUAUACUUCAUUCAUAAGCAAAUAUUAGAAUUCAAAUAUGAAAGAAGAAUUUUUGGAAUAAAGGAAGAUUUUCAUAUCGAAUCAAGAAUUCAAACGAACGAAGAUAGAAUUUCGUAAUUUAUAAGAAUUCCUUGAAUUCAUAUUUUUUUUUAAUUUUGAUCUCUUUCUCUUCUUUUUUGUUUACCAUUGAUCUCUCUCUCUCUCUCUCUCUCUCUCUUUGAUAUUUUUUACCAUAUUUUUGCUUUUUGAUUUUUUUUAUUUUUUUUAUCUUAUGAAGUGUGAAAAAAAUAAACAAAAAAUAGUAAUAACACACGAAGCAAAGAUAAAGGAAGAAUAUCGAUUAUAGAUAUGGUGUUGAAAGAAGAAAAAAAAAAAGAAAAGGAAAAGUUAAAAGAUAGCAAAUAAAUGGUUACUUAAACCUAUGAGUCGCGCUUUGAUAUCAAAUGAUGAAAAUACAAAUUAACAUCAUCUAGCGAAUUGUAACAAAACGGAUCGUUUAAGAUUGAAGUAAGGAAAACUAUUUUAAUCAUUUUAUUAAUAAAAAAUUGAUGAAAUAAUUGGAAUAGUAAUUUGAUUUUCUUAAAAUGUCACAAGCAGAAAAGCUUGAUAAGUUUUAAAGUUCUUAGACUUAAAAAUAAAAUACUCACCAGUGUUGAAAGAUGAUUAUACUUUUUAAUUGUCUCCUCACAAAGGAAGUCAGCUUUGUUUAUAUAGUACAAGGCCAAGUAUAAAGGGGAUAAAUCUAUUAAAUAUAUUAAAUAAUGUUUAUAUUUUAAAUUUAUGAAUGUAGAUCAUUUAUGAAUCUAUCUUGAAUUGUUUUGAAUGAUUAUUCAUGAAUAAGCUCAUAAUUCCUAAUUAUUGAAUUUUAAAUUUUGAUGAUGAAAUCAAUUGGUAAAUUGUUUGAUCUAAUAUAUAUGUUGAGAUAAGUGUGCAGGAUUAACUACGAUAGUGGUAGACAUGAAAUAGAUGUUGAGCCGGAGUUAAGAUCGAGAUUUUGUUGAAAGUUUGAGAGAUCGUUGGAAGUUCAGACAUUCGUUGGAAAUUUUGACGGAAUUGAUCGAGAAGUCUAAUAGCUUGUCAAAGAAGCUUGUCGUAACUCGCUAAGAAGAUCGUCGUAAAGUCCAAGAGCUUGUUGGGAAUCCGUUGGAUCAUUGUCGAAAGAUCGUCGGAAGUUUGUCAGAAGCUCGCUAGAAGAACAAUCGACACACCAGAUAGAGUUUGCUUGUUUAAAUGUCUUAAAUAUCGUAAUUAGACCUUAAGUUGAGUUAGGAUUGAGAGGUAAUCUCACUAACUCAGUUAGGUGUCAAUUGGGCCCUUAAUAUGGCUGAAUUGGGCCGGUUGAAAUAGCUUAUUUAACACCUGAAGUCACGAUCGGCGGUGGCACACCCAGGGCCAGCGGUGGCACUGCUUAUGACUCGGCCUCCUAGGUGCUCUAGGCGGUGGUACCGCUUAGACUGUGUGGUGGUACUAUCAAUAGUUAAUGUUAUUAAGCGGUGGUAUUGCCAAAGCUCUAUCAAGCGGUGGUACUGCCUAGACUGAACGGUGGUAUUGCCCAGUGUCAGUUUGCAAGUGGUGGUAUUGCCCAAUAAUGGUGAUGGUACUGUUAGUAUCCUGAAAUCCGAGGAUUUGACAUUUUUUUGUUCUAAUUCUGAAGUCAUUAGGGUCUAUAAAUACCCGACCCUUUUUUGAAUGAAAGGACAUGAAAGUGUGAACAAUAUCUUGAAUUCNNNNNNNNNNNNNNNNNNNNNNNNNNNNNNNNNNNNNNNNNNNNNNNNNNNNNNNNNNNNNNNNNNNNNNNNNNNNNNNNNNNNNNNNNNNNNNNNNNNNNNNNNNNNNNNNNNNNNNNNNNNNNNNNNNNNNNNNNNNNNNNNNNNNNNNNNNNNNNNNNNNNNNNNNNNNNNNNNNUUUGGGUGUUAAAAGUGUUGUAAAAGUACAAAGAGUCAUCCCUUUCUAGUAUUGUGAUCAUUCAAGAGAGGUGCGAGGCUUGUAAGGGUUACCUCCUAAACCCGUGAAAAGGAGAAAGCGCUGUAAAGAGAUGGUUGGUCUUUGUCUAUUGAAAGAAGACCAUCAGUGGACACCGGUGACCUCGACGGAGGAGGAAUUAAAAGUGGAUGUAGGUCACAACGAUUGAAUCAUUAGAAAUUUUGGUUUGCAUUUCUAUUAUUGUCUUUUACUUUGCAAUUGCUUCACUUCCUCCUUGGUUUUUUACUUUUCAAGCAAUCUUUCGAGAUCGAUUUUUAUAGUAUGAAGAAAUUUUUCGGAUUGUAUAACCCUAUUAAUGGCGAAGUUAUUAUUAAUAGAAAUGUUAUAUUUGAUGAUCCAUUGCAAGUGAAGUAAGGAUCAGAUGGAAUUUUUAUUUCACAAAGAAAGCAUGCAAUGGAUCUAUUCAAAAAAUAACUUUGCCACUAACAGGGUUAUAUAAUCGAUAUGCUUUCGAUUGUAAGGAAUAACCAAUUAAGAUACAUUUUUUAGAUAUUUCAUCAAGCUUAUGAUGAUUUUGUGAAUUCACCAAAGCAUAAGCAAUAUAACAAAAAAAAUUUAGAUGUCUAACACUUGGUUUUAUACCAUACCAAGCCUCAAAAAGAGUUUGAUUCAUAACAGCCUUUGUUGGUGAAAUAUUCAAUAAAUAAACUGCUGUUGCAAUUGCUUCUGCCCAAAAUUGAUUUGGAAUUUGUUUUCCUUUAAGCAAACUUCUUGUCAUUUCAACGAUAGUAUGCUUUUUACGCUCAGCUACAACAUUUUGCUCUAGUGUAUAUGGUGUUUGUCAAUUCUCUAUGAAUAUCAUUUUCUUCACAAAAAAAAUUAAACACAUUAGAUAAAAAUUCACCACCUCUAUCUGUCCGAAGUGUCUUUAUGUGUCUACCACUUUGUCUUUCAACAAGUACCUUGAAUUGUAAAAAAUUAUCAAAUGUUUCAUAUUUCAAUUUCAGAAAAUAUAUGCAACUCAUGCAGCUAUAAUCAUCAGUAAACAAUAAAAAAUAUGGAAAUGGUUUCAAAGGUCCACAUAAGUCAGUAUAAAUUAAUUCAAGACAAUUAGAUGCUCUCCAUUCUUUUCCAAUAGGAAAUGGUUUUUUACUUUGUUUACCAUAAAUUCAUCCUUCACAUACAUCAAGUGUAUUAAUCUUGGGCAAUCCGAAAAUCAUUCCUUGUUUACUUAACAACCUUAAACCCUUAAUGUUAAGGUGUCCAUAUCUUAAAUGUCAUAAAUUAGACUCAUUCUUUUGAGUUACGGCAAGCGCAUGCCUUUCAAUAUUUGACACAUCAAGUGGAAACAUCUUAUUUUGUGUCAUGCAGACAUUUACUAUAAUCAAACCAGAUUUUUUAUCUUUAACAGUGUAUGAACUAUUAUCAAAUAUAACUGAAUAUCCAUCAUCUAUCAAUUGUCAAAUACUCAACAAGUUAUGUAAUAAAGUAGGAACAAAGAAAACAUUUGAAAACAAGGUAUUUUAUCUUCUCUUGAUUUGUCUUCACCUCAAUUGUUCCUUUUUCUUCAACUUGGAUGUACUUGUUAUCUCCAAGCCUAACUUUCAACUUGUGAGUUUCAUCAAUAUCUCUAAAUUUUGAUUUUAUGCCUGACAUAUGAUUAGAUAAUCCACUAUCCAGAAACCAAAUAUUAUUUGAGAUAUCAUGAACUUAUGAAUGAGUCAUAAACAAUUUACUAUUUGCUUCAUUUUCCUCUAUAUAGCUUGCUUACUUUUCUUUUUUCCAGUAAUCUGUCUUUAUGUGACCAAACUUUUCAUAAUAGUGACAUUGAAUUUCACUCUUGCAAUUUUUUUUAUCAUAAUUUGAUUACCUUUGUUCAUCAUGCCCAUCAAAGUGUCAUCUUCCUCUUCCUCUUUCAUUUCUUCUACCAUGAAAUCCUCCUCUACCACGUCCUCUUCCUAUUGAUUUUUUAUCUUCUUUUGAAGUAGAAGACUCCUCCUUAACUUGAAAUGUUUUUUCUUCACUUUUUUUAAGUGACCUGUUCAACCUUGCUUCAUGUGCUUGUAAGGAACACAUUAGUUCAUCAAAUGAAUAUGUAGAUAAAUCUUUUGACUCCUCAAUUGUGGCAACAACAUGAUCAAAUUUCGGAGUUAAACUUCUCAAAACUUUUAUAACAAUUAUAUGAUCAGGAAGAUAUUCACCAUAAGAUUUCAUUUGACUAACAAUUUCAGUCACUCGAGAAAAAAAAUCUUGUAUCGAUUCAUUGUCUUUCAUGAAUAAAAUUUCAAACUCACAACGAAGGGUUUAAAGUUUUAUCGUAAUCACCCUUGAUGAGCCUUAAAAUUCAUUUUGAAGUAUCAACCAAGCUUGCUUUGAGGUUAUCGCUGCUACAAUUCUCGAAAAUAUUGUCUCAUGUAUAGCUUGUUGAAUGAAGAACAAUGCCUUUGAGUCCUUCUUUCUAUUCUCCCUUAGCCUGAUUUCGUCAUCUGGAUCUGCAUAUUCACUUUCUAUUAAGUCCUAAAGAUCUUGAGACUUGAAUAAAGUCUUCAUCUUGAUACUCCAAAAUUCAUAGCAUUUGCCCGAGAAGAUGGAAAUAAGGGGUUGAGACAUGGAAUUGCCAUUGAAAGCAAUAAUGCCUUGUUCAGAUUGAAACUAGGCUCUGAUACCACAAAUGUUGGGGAUAGAGGAGCAAGGAAAAAACAGAAUACUAUGAUGCAAGUAAAAGAAUCCAUUCGAUUCAGGAAAAGCGAUGUAGUAUUUAAAACAAGAGGAUUGAUACGAACACUUACAAGAUAUUCCCAAGUGCACACACUCUCUAUAUCCCUUGUUUCAUGAACUAUGGUCCUAUUUAUAGGACCUAUUGGUAACUACCUCACUCCUUAUGUCACCCAUGAUUGAGGUAGUUAUUGAAACUAUCAUAUAAUUACUAGAUCAUGAUUGAAGUAGUUAUUGAAACCACCCUAUAACUACUAGAUCAUGAUUGAGGUAGUUAUUGAAACCACCCUAUAACUACUAGAUCAUGAUAACUAUGAAUCAAAUCUCAACACUCCCCCUUGAUUCAUAGUUACAUACACCGAUUUGCGACAUGAAAUAAACAUGCUUUUGAAUUGGAAGCGACUUGCUACAAGAUAUUCGUAACUUGUUCAUCUAUUAAUUCUUCAUCAUUAUGACUCCACUUGCUGCAAGAUCUCGGAUGAAAUGAUAGCGUAUCUCUAUAUGCUUCGUUCUUCUAUUAAACGUUGGAUUCUUCGUCAUUGCAAUUGUGGUUUUAUUAUCACAAAAUAUUUUCGUUGCUUCUUUUUGUUCUUGAUGAAGAUCUUCAAGAAGUCUUCUAAGCUAUAUUGCUUGACAAGCUGCUGAUGUUACGGCUACAUAUUCUGCUUCCGAUGUCGACAAUGCAGUUGUUGCUUGCUUUUUAGAACUCCUAGAUAUAGCUCCCGAUCCGAGGCUAAAAACAUUGCUUGAACUCUUUCAAUCAUCUAAACCCCUUCCCAAUCACUAUUAGUGAAACCAAAUAAUUUACAAUUAAAAUUAUGAGAAUAUCAAAUACCAUAAUCUGUAGUUCUAGUAAUAUAACGCAGAAUUCUUUUAAUAACUAUGAGAUGAUGUUUGCUUGGGCUAUGCAUAAGCCUGGAUACUACACCAACAGAGAAUGUAAUAUCUGGUCGAGUAUGAGUUAGAUGAAUCAAAUCUCCAACCAAACUUUUGUAGUAUCUUGUAUUUGUCAGACUUAUACCAUCUUCAAGUUUUAAUUUCUCAUUUACAUUCAUGGGUGUUGCUACAACUUUACAAUUAAUCAUGUUAGAUUUUUUGGGUAAAUCCAUUGAAUACUUUCUUUGUGAAAUAAAAAUUUCAUUUGAUCCUUGCUUCACUUCCAACCCAAGAAAAUAGUGUAGUAGACCUAGAUCUGACAUUUCAAAACUAUUCAUCAUGCAUUUUUUAAAUUAUGCUACAGAAGAGUUAGAUGAACCCAUAUAUAUAUUAUCGUCAACAUAGAGGCAAACCAUUAGAAUAUUAUGUUCACCUUCCUUCUUUAGAUAAAGAGUAGGUUCAUUAUUGCUCAUUUUAAAUCCAAUUUGAAGAAAAUAAUAAUCAAUUUUACUGUACCAUUCCCUUGGAGCUUGUUUAAGCCCACAAAGAGCUUUUCUUAUCUUAUACGUCUUUUUUUCAUGUCCUUUAACCAAAAAACCUUCAGGUUGAGCAACAAAAAUCUCGUGUAAAUUUUCAUUUAAAAACGUAGAUUUCACAUUAAAUUGAUAAAUAUGCCAACUCAAGUGAGCAGCUAAAGCCAAGAAAUUUCUCACGGUUUCGAAUCUAGCAACUGGAGAAAAAGUAUCAUCAAAAUCAAUACCUUGUUGCUGUGAAUAUCCUUUUGCUACAAGCCGUGCCUUAUGCUUUUGGAUACUUCCAUCUGUAUUAAACUUUGUUUUGAAUACCCAUUUUAAUCCAAUAGCUUUCUUUUCGGUAGAUCCAGUAGCUCUCAAGUUUCAUUCUUCUCAAUUGACUUGAUAUCCUCUUUCAUUACUUUUUUUCAUUCUUCUUUUUUAACUGCUUUCUCAAAAGUUAUUGGAUAUGAAAUAAACAAAGCAAAUGUUGAGUCAUAAAUUUCUGUUAGUGAUAUGAAAUUUCUUGGCGGGGUUUCAUCUGAGAAAUCAGAAUUUGAACUACUACUUGGUGAGGUUGAUCUUUCUUCUCUUUUGAGAGAUGCCAUUUUUUUUUUUACUUCCUUUGCAAAGUGCAUGAUAGCAAAUUUGCUUUCUAGCAAAUUUUGCUCCCCCUUUAUCAUUGUCAAAAAGAAUGGAUGAAUACAAUUUUGUAUCUCUCUUUCCCUUUUCAACAAUUUUCAAAUUAUGACAAAGAUUAAGUGUCAUUCUUAUUUCAAUAUGUUUGUGCAUCAUUAUGGUUUCAACUUGAAAUAUGUACAAUUUUAAAAUCUUAUAUUUCAUUUUUCAUGCAUGAUACCAAAAAUAAAUCAAUCAUCACUACAACUCAUCAUGCACAUUAUUAAAAUAUAAAAUCAUCAAACAUGAUACAAAUAUUUAUUUUUAAAAUAUUCAUCAUUAUUUUGAGCACAUCAUACAUGAUACUAAGACAUUCAUAAUACAUCAUUUUAGCAACAAAUCAUAGUAUUUCAAAUCAUGAUGAUAUCUAAAUGUCAUUAUAUCCUAUCAUGCAUAAUCAUAACUUCUCAUUUGUAUAAUAUCAUGAGUAUUGUAUGAUUUUAUAUCAUCACAUGAAAAUUAACAAUAAAAAUUGGUGAUGAGAUAUACAAAUCAUGAAGACAAAGUGUGAAUAACAAAAGACAUAUUAUGAUUCUUUUUAGAUAACUCAAAUAACGAAAAGAACGAAUCAUAGUAAAUAAUUUUGAUUUAUAAAAAAAAUUCUCAAGUUAUAAUUCUAAAAAAUCAAGAGAAACUAUAAUUCAUUUUAACAAAUCUCCUCUUAAAUAAAAUGACAAAAAGAAUUCUUAGGAGAUCGAUUAAUGAAAAAAUCUUGAUUCAUAAUGAAUCUUAGAUUUGUAAAUAUCAAGGAAUCAAGAUCAUGAUUUGGAUAAAACUCAUUCAAAUUUAAAUCAUCAAAAUCAUCAAUAUCUUUUCAAUAAAACUUAAUGAAGACAACGUAAAUAGAUUCUCAUGAGAACUCGAUUUAUGCAUAAUGUCUCAAUUUUUCAUGAAUGUCAUAAGUCAUGAUUUAUUUCAAUAAAUCUCUUUUUAGAAGUGGAUAAAAGAAAUAUAGGAGAUCUUGAUUCGUGCAUAAGAAAUCUCAAGUUAUAAAUUUCGAAAAAUCAAUAUAAAGCUCAUUUAAAUUUAAAUCAUCAAAUCAAGAUCAUUUUCAAUAGAUUCACAAAAGUGAUAUAAAUAGAUUCAUUAAUCUCCUUUUUUAAAAACUCGAUAAAGAAAUCUUUUCAAGGAAAAACCUAUCCUCUUUUUAGUUGUUUCAAUUCAUGUGAUUUAUUCCAUUUUUGUCAAGUAAAUACAUGCAUCAACAUUUAAAACCGAAAAAGAACUUUCAUUAUGGCAAAGAUCGAUAAUUUAUAAAUCAUAAAAAUUUUUAUGCAUAAUUUUGAAAAAUAAAUUUAUUAGGCAUGAUAUCAUCAAACAUGAUUUCAUAAGGUAUUUUUAAUCAAAAUCAUUUUGUUUGUUGUAGUCAUGCAAUUUUUUUUUUAGGUGAAUCAACUUUUCAUGCUUAGUUUUCCAUACAAAAGCCAUACAUCAUCAUUAAGCGUGAUAUCAAACUUCUUAAUAUUUUCAUUAAGACAUCAAGCAUGGUUUCAAUCAAAAUCGGAAAUCAUCAAGACACACAUUAUUUAUUCUUGAAAAAACAUAUAUAGGAUCAUUAGAUUUAAAUCUAACAUUUUAUUCCAUUAACAUAAAACAUAUAAUUUUCAUGAUCAUUUUCAAAAUUACUAGAAUGAUAAGCAUGAUCCUAAUUUUUUAGUAUUUUUAUUAUAUUUUUAAACAUAUAAUUUAAAAAAAAUAAUUAAACUAAAUUAAAAAUAACUCAUUAAAAGCAUCAUGUAAUUUUAAAAUAAAUUAAGGGCAUUUUGAUUACCUCAUCGUUGAAAGUCGUUAAGGCAUAGUUUGACAUCUCGCCUUUGUUGAUUUUCUUCUCAUCUUUAGAGGAGCUCAAUUCGCCUUUUGGGAACUACUUCUUGCGUUCAUAGCAAGUAGUUCUGUUCUUUUUGUUCUUUAAUUUUUAUUUAAUGAACUUUUUAAAUUAAUGAUAAGUUCAAGUUUACCAUCACUUGAGCUUAUGCUCGAGUGGUCUUCGAUUGUUCUAAGUCCAAAAUCCUUCCUAUUCUUUAGAAGGUGGUUCUCAAGUUCUUUACAUGCAUUGUACGUCGUUUCAUAGGUUAUUAGAGACCUGAUAAGUUCUUCGAUCAAAAAAGUAUUCAAAUUUUUUUAUUCUUGUAUAGCCAUUAUUUUCGAAUUCUAACUCUUAUUAAGAGAAUGUAAAAUUUGGUUUACAAGUCCAAAAUCUGAAAAACGUCUACUAAGUGUUUUUAAACCAUUGACGACAUACGUAAAAUGGGUGUACAUGUCAACAAUAGUUUCACUUGGCUUCAUUCGAAAAAGUUCAAAAGCAUGCAUUAAAGAGUUGAUUUUUAAAUCUUUAACUUUGCUAGUGCCUUCAUGUGUGAUUUCGAGAGUAUGCCAAAUUUCGAAAGUCGUUUCGCACAUAGAAAUUUGAUUAAACUCGUUUUUGUCUAAGGCGCAAAAUAAGUCAUUCAUAGCCUUUGCAUUUAAAGAAAAAGUCUUCUUCUCCAAAUUAUUCCAAUGGUUCAUUGGAAGAGAAGACUUUUUAAAACCAAAUUCGACUAUAUGUCAUAAAUCGAGAUUCAAUUAAAGCGAGAAAACUCUCAUUCGAGUUUUCCAAUAAGUUAGUAUGUCCCAUUGAAAAAGGAGGAAAUAUGAGAGAGUGACUCUCUUGAAAGCCAAAAAGAGUCAUUUCUCUUGGGUCUUAAACCAACUGAGAAAUCAUGAGGCUCUAAUACCAAUUAUUAGGAUCAGGGGUCGACACUAAGAGGGGGGGUGAAUUAGUGCAAUGGUAAAAUCACAUCUUCAAAAACCUUCGUACGUUGAAAACUGAUUCUUCGGAAACUUAACUUAAACACGUUCGUAAAUGAAUUGAAGGCAGUAAGCAAUUAAAGAGGUUUGCAGUAAGUGAAUGGCAGGAAGUAAAUGCAAACCAGAGAAAAUGCCAAUUUUAUAGUGGUUCGAUCGUCGUGACCUACAUCCACUCCACUGAUUCCUCUUCCGUCGAGGCCAUCGGCAUCCACUAUCGGUCUUCGUUCAAUAAGCGAAGACCAACCACCUUUUACACCCCUCUUCUCCUUUUUCAUGGGUUUAGGAGACAACCCUUAUAAGCACUCACUCUCCUCUUACAGAAUUCUAAACUUAGAAUGGAGGAGGGAAUUUCUAAAGAGAUUGCAGCAACGUUUCUUCUCUUUUAAAUACUCUGUCCUUGUAUCUUUUAACCAAAGAUGAGAGGGGUAUUUAUAGGCUUCAAGUUGAUUCAAACUUGGAGCCUAAAAACAUCUCAUCCCAGGUUUCUCAAGCACGGGUGGUACCACCGCCCAAUCUGGUGGUACCACCGCCUGGGGGGUUGUGCUGGGUGGUGCCACCACCCAGACUAGGGAUACCAUCGCCUGGCAUCCUACCAGGGGUGGUACAAUCGCCCAGACUAGCGGUACCACGACGGUGCCACUUCUUGGUGCACUAUUUAGGCCUCUCAUUGGACCCAACACAGUCUUUACAUGGGCCUAGUUGGCCCAAAUCUAAAUCCAAUUAUGCGCUAAUUACGAUUCCUAAGACAUUUGCUAAGCUAAACAAGUCCCUAUGUCUUGGUUUCUUCCGGUGAGCUUCCGACGAUGUUCCGGUGGACUCUCGGCAAGCUCCUAGACUUCACGAUGAUCUUCUUGGCGAGUUCCAAUGAGCUUCUCUGGCAAGCUCCGAGACUUCUCGGCUAGUUCCGACAGAACUUCCGACGAACGUCCGGACUUCCGACGAACUCUCAAACUCCCAACAAAAUCGCAUCCUGGACUUCGAGACUUCAUUUUGCAUCAUGCCUUGCUAUCGUAAUUAAUCCUACACAUGUAAAACAUACUUCGAUCUAGACAAUUAAUACUAAGUAUUAAUCAUGUUAUUCGGCAUGUCAUUGGUCCAUCGACGCUUCGUCUGAUUCUUCGGCGCAUCGUCCUCUCUUACGGCCUAUUACCCAAUCGGUCAGUUGAGUCCGCAACUCUAAUAUAGUUGGCCCAAUAUCCACUCUUCUUGGCCCGAUGUCCGAAUCUAUAGCCCGAAGCCUUCUGUCGAUACGUCGACCGAUCCUCCUCCCCGACGUAUAAUCUUCUGACAUGUUCUCCUCCGGCACAACAUGAUUCUUCCUGCUUUAAUUGUCUCAUCCUGAUCGAAGCAUCAUGUCACUCAAAACGUAGAUUAAAAUCAUAAACAAUUAUCAAUUGAUUUCAUCAUCAAAAUACGAGAUUCAACCGAUAGGAGCACCAUCUUGUGGGGGCAUUAUAGUAAAUAAUUUUUUUUUAACUGUAUGAGGAAAUCUCUCUACUCUGUUGAGGGAAAUCCUCCCACUCAACCUGUAUAAAUAGGGAAAGAAAAACAAAUCCGUCCUUACAUCUUCUUCAAUAAUUCUUCCUUUUUUUAUCUGUUUUAACAACUUAUCUCAAAAAUAUAUCAGUCCAAUAAACUCAUCAAUUAUUCAACAAGUUUGUCGUACUUCUUUUAGCUAACGAUGAAGGGAAGAAGUAUUCUAAUAUUUUCUAAUAUGGAUGAUCUACUCGUUCAUGUCAUUUAAGUUCUUUAGUUAUCUUGCUUAAGCCGACUAAGUUUGUUUUAUUGAUAUCUUACAUUCAAUUGUUGGGUCUUUCGAUCUACUCAAUGAGUAUUUUAGAAACUGGACAUCACAUUUAGAAACUCACAAAAAUGACUUAUCAUAGAAGGAAAUUAAGUUUGAAAUUUUUGGAUCAUUUAUGUAAUAUUAUUUUUGCUAAAUACAAAGUGGGAAAAGUAUCCAAAGAUUUGACUUAUAUUCUCUCUCAUGAAUGUGUUUAUAAUUUAUGUUGGAUUUUACGACAUCUUGCUCAUGACUUCUUAGGUUUCAUGGCUUAUUAUGUAUAUUUCUCUUAACUUAUUAUUUUUAAUGACAUAUUUUUCUUGAUUUCUUAGUGCUCAUGGCUUAUGAUCUAUAAUCUAUCUUUCUUGUAACUUUUUAGUAUUCAUGGCUUAUACAUCAGUGAUGUUUAAUGACUUAUGAAGACUAUUUAGAUUAUUUGUAUGCUCUACUUUUUUUGUUGAUAAUAAUGGGGGAGAAGCUAUAAACUAAUGUCAUGAUCAUAAACUUCUAUAUCAUUAUAAAUCUCAUCAAGAAAUGUUUAAUUUAUAGUGUUGAUAGUGUUGAUGUAAUGAUGCCAUCAGACUAAAUUUAAUUUUUUAAAAAAAUAUAUGUACAUCUUAUACUUCAAGGGAAACCAAGAAGAUUUAAUUUUUUGAAUGACACUCUCACAAACUCAUCUACUAUUCACCAAAAAAAAAAAUGAUCUAAGACUUGCUAAUCUAAACAUAGAAGUUCAAAUACAUCUAUAGAAAUAUUACCCUAGAAAAAGUUCUAAUUUGAAAAAAUAUUAUGUUUUGAAAAGAUAUUAUACAUACAAUGUACACUACACAGAAACCUCAAAGAGAAAUAUUAUCCCUAGAGUUCGAAUUUCUAAAACCAAACAUGAGAGUCAUACAAGUUGCUCCUAUGGGCAGGUUGAGCAAUGCAUUCAUGUAGUGAUACUCGCAGAUCAUUUGGAUUGUUUACAACAGAGAGGUACCGAUCAGCUA